rnacentral:lncRNA from 1 species
CAAACAGAGGCCCAAAAAAUGGAACCUGUUGAUUUGAAAUGGAAAAACAAAUUUUAAAAACUGAUAAAAGUCAAAUCAAAGAUAUGAGAGUAGCUGACUGAUGUCAGACCUGCAAUGAGCACUUAAGCUGUCACCCACAGAGCAGACGCUGACCUUAACAGGACACAGGUCUAGGGCUUUCAAAUUGAGUGAAGCAGGACUGCCCCACAAUGCUCCUUUACUAGGGAUUCUUCAGCAAAACUUUCAAUGACAAAAUUUUACCAGGUUCUUCGUUUUUUCUCUUCUGUUGUCAUUUACAGAAAUGGUGUUGCUCUUAAGUGCCUACAUCAUGUGAAUUAUGCAUGAUACACAGACAUGCUUCACUGCACACUAUCCUUGCAUCUGUCUGAAACCAGUUAUGGAACUGGUAAUGUUCCUGCCAUGGGUCCUGAUGUAUAUUAACUCUUAAAGGAGAUGAUGAUGAUCCCUGUCAACAACUACAAAGUCCUACACAGUCCUCAUUCUUCUCGACCUUUUCCCCCUCUGCUUCCAAGAUACUGCAUUACCUUCAUUUCCUUCUACUUUUUUUUGAGACAGGGUCUCCUUCUCUCACCCAAACUGGAGUGUAGUGGCACAAUCAUAGCCCAUUGCAGCCUGGAACUUCUGGGCUCAAGCAUCCUCCCACCUCAGUCUCCUGAGUAGCUGGGAUUACAGUUGCACCACCACACCCAGCUUCUGUUUUUAAUAGAGACUGGCUUUUCUUAGCUGAACCCAUUUCUGUUAUGUGGAAAACUCACAAGUUUCUGUGCUUGCCUUUUUUGGAUUUAUUUCUUCUCUCUCCUUUUUCCCCCAUUAGAAUUUCUUUAAUUUUAUUCAGUAACAUGCAGAUUGUAAGUUCCAUGAGAUCACAAUUCUUACAUGAGCUCCAUGAGAUCAUGUAACUCUUAUAUUCAUUCACUUAUUACUCCCCUAUUCAUGUAUUCAGAAAAUAUUUAUUAUGUGUUGGACACUGUUCUACUCACUGCAGAAACAACAGUGAAUAGUACAAAAAUCCCUGAAUUUAUUGAGCUUGGAAUUUAUUGGAGAUUUUAGAGAAUAAACAGUAUAAACAUAUAAAAUAUAUGACAGGCAGGAAAAGUGCUAAGGUAAAAAUAAAGCAGGGAAGAGCAAUAUAACUUUAUUUUUGGGAGGGGUCUCCAGUUGGCUCUAAUGGCCAGGGUGGGCUUUAAGAAGAGGAUGACAUUUCAGUAAAGGCCUAAAGAAAGUGAUGAAUGAACCACAAGCUAUGAGAACAUCUAACGGAAGAACAUUCCAGGCAGAGUAACAGCACAGGCCUUGUGGUGGGAGUAGAAUUAGUAUGUUUAAGCAACCAUGGCUGGGGCCAAGCGAGAAAAAGGAAGAAUUAAGAGCUAAAGUCAAGCAGGUCACAAGGGGUGCUUUAUAGGAAGUUUUAAGGGUUCUGGAUUUCUGUUCUGAGUAAGAUCAAAUCCUCCUGAGGAUUUAGGGAAGCAGGGGAUAUGAUCUAAAAUACAUUUUAAAGGUAUUGUUUUGGCACCUGUGUUGACAAAACUGCAAAGGGGAAUUAUGGAGACUAGCUGGUGACUACUGAAUAAAGCAAGAGAUGGUGGUAAUGGCUUGGAUCAGAAUGGCAGCAGAAGUGGAGAAAGGUGACAGAUAUAUUUUGAAGGUAGAGUUGUCAGGAUUUGUUGAGGAUGGUUAAUGAGGUGGGAGAGACAGAGAGGUGUCAAGGAUGAUGCCACAGUUUCUGGCCUGGCCAUUGGAAGGCUGGAGCUACGUUUUCCUGAAAUGGAGAAGACUGAGAGGGAGGGUCAAUAGCUCAACUUCAGACAUGCUAAGUUAGAGAUGCCUACUGGGUAUCCAGUGAUGAUGUAUUGGGCAGGAGUAGCUAUACCAUGCUAGAGUCAGGGGAAAGGCCUAGGUUGAAGCUGUUCACUUAGAGAUGAUGUUUCUAGCCAUGAGAUCACAUAACAUCAACAAAAGAUCAAGAAAAGAGACUCAAUGACUAUAUCCUCUGGCCUUCCAAUGUUUAGAGCUUAGAGACAUGAGAAACAAUUAGAAAAGAAAGAGUGGCUGGAGAUGGAGCAAGAAAACCCCUUCUGAGUAGCACUGUACCUGACACACAAUUGGAAGGCAAAUACCUGCUAAAUGAGUUACAUUCAUUAAUAUUUUAAAUAAUUUAAAUUAAUGAAUGUGGGUCUCCAUCCUAGGUCUUUAAACUUUUCUCAAAAACUAUUUAUUUGUAAAGCCCCUUUUCUGUGGUUGGCAUUGGUGAAGGUGCUUGGGAUACAAUAAUGAAGGAGAGACUGUCUCUGCCCAUAAAGAGCUGACAUGGUAAGAAAACUAUGGACUAAUAUCUCUCAGCAAUGAUGCAAAAAUCCUUUAUAAUUUUUUUGUAAAUUAAACCCAGCAAGAUAAAAAAGGACAAUAUAUCUUAUCAAGCAGAAUUUUCCAUUGGAACUCAAGGUUCAUUUAACAUUCAUAAAUCCAUCAGUGCAAUUUAUUUUUGCAAUGUGCAAAAAUCCACAUUGACAAAAUACAGAAUAAAAACCAUAUGACUUUAACAGACACAGAACAAGCAUUAAAUAAAAUUUAACUCUCACUCAUAAUUAGAAAAACAAAACAGAACAAAAACUCUCAGCAAACCAGGAAUAGAAGGGAAAUGCCUCAAUUUAAUGAGAGCUUAAAGGGGGAAAAAGGUGUCAUAAUUAAUGAUGAAAGAUUAAGUAUUUUCUAAAAGAGAUCUGAAAAGGCAAGGAUGUCUAUGUUCACCUCUUCUACUCAACAUUUUUGAAGAUCCUAGUCACUACAAUAAAGAAAAUUAAGAGAAAGAAAGAAGAAGGGUAGGGGAGAAGAGGGGAACAUAAAGGUUAGAAAGAAGUAAAACUGUUUUUAUUCACAGAUAUCAUGAUUAUGUAUAUGAAAAGUCCAAAGAAUUUAACUAGAAUUAGUGAGUGAAUUUUGAUAAGCCUCAGAAAACAAUAUACUCCUCAAAUCAGUUAUAUUUCUGAAUGUUAGCAACCAACAAUUGGGAAAAGACAUGUAAAAAUGUUGUUUAUAACUGCAUCAAAACAGAAUGAAUUUGAUAAAAGAAUGUGCAAGACAUCUAUAUUGAAAACUACCAAACAGUGAUGAGAUAAAUUAAAGACAAGCUAAAUAAAUGGAAAGAUGUACAAUGUUCAUGGACUGGAAGUUUCAAUAUUGUUAAGAUGUCAAUUCUGCUAACAUUAAGCUAUAGAUUCAACAAAACCCAAUCAAAAUUCUGGCAAGCCUUUAAAAAAUAUACAUGUACCGAAUACUUCUAAGUUCAUAAGGAAAUGAAAAGACAUAAAUUAGUCAAGAUGAUAAUAAGAAGACUUAUAUUACCUAAUUUCAUGGCACACUAUAAAAAUAUAAUAAUUAAGAAAUCAUUAUAGUGGUACCAGGAUAAACAAAUAUUUCAAUAAAACACAAUACAGAGUCCAAGAAUAGAGCCAUACCUACAUGGUAAUUGAUUUGCAAUAAAGGCAGCAUAUCAGUUUGGUGGAAGAAAAAAGCCUGUUUCAAUAAAGACACUGGAACAACUGGAGAGCCAUAUGGAAAAGUGAACCUUGACCUUCAUCUCAUAUCACACACAAAAAUUGAGAGGGUUAUAGACUGAAAUAUUAAAGCUAAAACCAUAAAGCCUCCAGAAAAAAAAUAUGACAAAAUUGCCACGACCUUAGGAUAGGCAAGGAUUUUUUAGGGUACAAAAGGCAUAAAUCAUAAAAUAAAUAAAUAAAUAAAUAAAUAAAUAAAUAAAUAAAUAAAUAAAAGAAAAUACAUUGGACUAUAUAGAAAUUUCUAAAACUCUGCCCAUCACAAAAAUGAAAAGGCAAGUUAUAUAUAGUCACCAAACAGAACAUAGCCACAAGGUCCAUCCAGAGGAGAACAAAUUAAAAGUUUGUGUUAUAUUCACCCAACAGAAUAUUCCACAGUAACGAAAAUGAACAAACCACAACUACAUGUAACAUCAUGAAAAUAAUCCAAAUAUAAUGACAAGUGAAAGAAACAGACACUAAAAAGUUCAUACUACAUAAUUUCAUUCCUAAAAGUUCAAAACCAAGUAAAAUGAAUCAAUAGGCCCAAAAGUCAGAAUAGUGGCCACUUCUUCAUUGUAUUAGUGAUUGAGAUGGGGCACGAGCAAGAAUUAGGAGGCUGGCAACAUCCUCUAUUUUGAUCUGGGGUGGUAUUACACAAGUGUGUUCACUUUGAAAACAUCCAUCAUGUUGUAUACUUACAAUUUGUGUCCUUUUCAAUAUUAAAUAUAUUUCCAAGGAAACGUUUUCCAGAAAACAGCAAGAAUACAGAGGAUUUGAACAAGACAACUAACAAACUCAUCAUAAUGGAAACAUAAAAUACUCUACCCAACAACUGCAGAAAACACAUUCAUUUCAAGCAUGUACAGAAUACUUUUUAAAAAGUGACCAUAUCCUCAGCCAAGGAUCCACAAAUACAGCCUGCAGGGCCUAAUUCCAACCUGGCACCUACUUGUGUAUGGCCUGCAAGCUAAGAAUGCUUUUUACUUUGUAAACAGUUGGAAAAAAAUUAAAAGAGUAUUUUACUAUGUGAAAAUUAUGAGAUCUAAAUUUCAGUUCAUAAAUAAAUUUUAAUGGAACACAGCCACACUUAUCCACUUACACAUUUUCUUUUUUUGGAGACAGAGUCUCACUCUGUUGCUUAGGCUAGAGUGCAGUGGCUCAAUCUUGGCUCACAGCAACCUCCGCCUCCCCGGUUCAAGCAAUUCUAGUGCCUCAGCCUCCCAAGUAGCUCAGACUAUAGGCCUGUGCCACCAAGCCCAGCUAAUUUUUUUGUACUUUUAGUAGAGACGGGGUUUCACCAUGUUGGCCUGGCUGGUCUCGACUUCCUGGCCUCAAGUGAUCCAUGCACCUCAGCCUCCCACAGUGCUGGGAUAAUAGGCAUGAGCCACUGUGCCCGGCCCACUUACACAUUUUCUAUGGCUACUUUUGCACAAUAAUGACACAGUUAUUUAGUUGUGACAGACCCAAGGCCUAAAAUAUUUACUAUCUGGCCCUUUACAAAAAAUGUUUGCUGGCCUCUCUUCUAGGUUAUAAAGCAAAUCUCAAUAAAUUUCUAGGGGUGGAAAUUUUACAAUCCAUAUUCUGUGCCUAAAAAGCUAUUGACAACAAACAACAACAAAAGGAUAAUUGGCACAAACCUCUAUGUUUAGAAAUUAAGAAAUACACUUCUAAAUAACUCAUGGGUCAACAAAAUAUUGAAAUGGAAAUUUAGCAAUAUGUUAAGCUAACUGAUAAAAUAAGACUAGUAGAUAUUAUAACUUAUACCUUAUAGCAGUACUUACAGGGACCGUGUAGAAUGAAAUGCUCAUAUUAGAAAGAAAUAAAGACUGCAACAUAAUGAGAUAGGCACCCAUCUCAAGAAGUACUGAAAAACCAAAAGAAUCAAACAAAUUCAAAGAAAGUAGAAGGAAAGAACUAAUAAAGAUAAAAGUCAUCAUUUAAAAAUAGAAAACAAACAUACAAUAAAAAGGAGAACCAAGAUCGACAGUUAGUUCUUUAAGGAACCAUAAAGAAAAAAAAAAAAUCAUGUCCUUUGCAGCAACAUGGAUGCAGCUGGAGGCCAUUAUCCUAAGCAAAUUAACAUAGGAACAGAAAACCAAAUACCGCAUGUUCUCACUUAUAAGUGGGAGCUAAACAUUGAGUACUCAUGGACAUAAAGAUAACAACAAAAAUUGUAUAAAAAGAUGGCAACAACAGAAACUGGGAACUACCAGAAGGGGGAGGGAGGGGAGCAAGGGUCGAAAAAUUAACUAUUGGGUAGUUAGUACUAAGCUCAGUACCUGGGUGACAGGACCAUUCAUACCCCAAACCUCAGCAUCAUGCAAUAUACCCAGGUAACAAACCUGCACAUGUACUCCUGGAAUCUAAAAUAAAAGUUGAAAAAAAAAAGUUCGUUCUUUGAAAAAAGUCUAAUACAAUUGACAGGUCUUUGGCAAGGUGAAUCAAGAAAAAAAAAGCACAACUAAAUAAUAUUAGAAACAAAAAGGAAUCCAACUAUAGAUACUUAGAAAAUAUACGUAGCUUUAUGCCUAUAAAUUUGAAAGUUUAGAUGAAAUGGCCAAAUGAGAAAAAAAAUACAAUUUAGCAAACACAGACACAAGAUGAUAUAUAAAAGCUAUAAUUCUAUGAGCUUUAAAGUAGAUGAAUCAUAGUAGAAAAAAACAUUCUAACAAGGAAAAGCCAGCUCAGAAGCCUUCACUGGCAAAUUCUAUAAAAUCUUCGAAUAACCAUAUUCAAAAUAAUAAAAUUCAAAUAAAAUCUUCGAAAGAACAAAUAACUAUUAUUUUGGAGAAACUUCCAUAGUAUAGGAAAACAGAAAAUAUACUCAUUUUAUUAGGCUAGUACAAUCUUAAUACCAAAAUGAGGGGCCAAUCUCACUUAUGAACAUGCAUACAAAAACCCUAACAAAAUAUCAGCAAGCCAAUUCCAUAAUGUGCAAAAAUAACAAUAUCAUGACCAAGUCGGGUAUAUCCCAAGAAUACAAUUUUCAGUAAAAAUCAGUCUGUAUACAACCACAUUAAUAGAUUGAAUGAGAAAAGUCAGGUAAUCACCUCAAAAGACAUUUAAACAAGUGUUUAAUAAAAUCCAAAAUCCAGUUAAGGAAAAAAUUCUUAGCAAUCCUGGAAUAGAAGGGAUCUUCCUUAAUCUGUUCUAGAAUACCUACAGAAUUCCAGAGCAACCACUAAAUGGUGAAACAUUGAGAACUUGAUGUGGGAGACUGUGAAGGAGAAAAGAAAUGUCCCCCUACAUCACAUCUACCAACAUUUGCACUGGAGAUCCUUGCCAAUACAGUAAUGCAAGACACAAAUAGAGGACUAUGAAUUAGAAAGGAAGAAAAACUGUCAUUUUUUUAGAUGGUAUAACUGUACUCACAGAAUCUCCAACAUAAUCUAUGGCAAAUGGUCAGAAUUAGUAAGAGUGUUUAUCAAAGUCAAUGGAUACAGAAUACAUUCACCAAAAAUCCAAAUGCAUUCCUCUCCACCAGCAACAAAUGGUUAGAAAAGGAAAUAUUAUUUACAACAGCAUAAAAAUAUAAAAUAGAUCUAACAAGGAAAGUAUAAAGAAAGUUACAAAACUUUAUUCAGAGAUGUUAGUUUAAAUAAAUGAAAUGAUAGAUGUGUUCUUGGACUAGAAGACUCAAUAUUGUUGUGACUUUCCUUCCUAGACUGACCUAUGGAUUUAAUGCAUGGCAUGUAUGUAUCUUGACUAGCUGAUUCUAAGACAUUUGUAGAAAUGAAAUUGGCUAAAAAAAGCCAAAGAAGAACUGGGUAGGGACUUGCCUUACAGCAAGAUAUAUCCCAACCUGUGGUAAGAAAUACAGUAUGAGUAAGGCACACGGGACCAGUGGAGUUACAGGAGGGCCUACCCACACAGCCUCCUGCCUGUUUGAUGACUGCUGAAAAUCAUUCACCAAGCUAAGUGGGAUAUAUUACCCCAUGAGUUGGGGAUGCUGACCCAUAAGGUAUGGUAUGUCCUUUUUUCCUAUCCCUAUGAUGAUAGUCUCUGACUUUAGUUUUAGUACUUAAGGAGUACUUUAGUACUUAAGUACUUCCUAGAAGAAGAUACAGUGUUCUCAGUGGGAAGAGGAAACUGAUGGUCAGGUAUUUUAGGCUCCACAGACCACUGGACACUGAGGCAGUAAAGGAGGCUCCAGGAUAGACAGGGUGAGUGGUCCUGCCAGGGAAAACAGUGCUGCUGCUGUACAAAGCGGAUGCGGAAGGGUUCUCAUGGAGCACUCACUCCUGAUCCCAUGCUCAAUGGUAAAUUUAAUGGAAGACAACAUCAAGUAUCAGUCCUAAUCAGAACCUUAUAGCAGUAUUUCAUCCUGCUGAGCAUGUAUAUUUCACAACCACCUAAAGUUUCUGAGUGACUCAUAAGUGCCCUCUCCUAACAUGAUGACCAAAGCCUGGGGAUUAAUAAGAUUUUCCAUGACUGCUGACAAACUGGAUUUCCUUACCACCUGCAGAUUAGGAGCUGCUUGUGGAGCCCCUAUCAUGUGUUCCUUGACUAAAGAAGUACAGUGCUCAGGGGAGGCACACACCUAGAAGGUGCAGCCCAAAUUAAUUUCUUUCUCAGGUUUGGGUCCAGAUGAAGACACUUCAUAUCCAGGGACUCUUCUUGGCAAGAUACUGUGAAAGCAAAGAGAGCCUUUUGCAGCAAAGUGAUAACGCUGAAGUCCACGUGGCAACACUAGCCAGCAUGCCAGCACAAGGAAGUGCCCAGUUGUUGGAGCAAAGACAAAAAAGAAUCCUUAGGACACAGAAAAUGAUCUGAAAUACCCAUUUGAUUUGUGGGGAUGGGGAUUAAUCUUUCAAGGAUGCAAUGCAGACAUCUUGAUGGUCCAAAGCAGGGCAAUGAACAACUGAACUCUGUUCCAAUUCCUCACAGAUAACCUCCAGCCUCCAGGAUUGGAAUAUUGCCAUGGAUGGGCCUACCGAGAGGCAGGCCACAUUGAAAAUGACAAAUGAAGAAUGUGCGUGGCUUAACUUACCCAGUUUGGUCAGUUAUUCAUUCUGCUAAAAAACUGCAAGUAUUGUGUUCAUAACAAUGAUAUGGCUGUGAUUUCUGUGUCCAGAUUUUUGGCACUGCCUUUAUCAUGCAAGAAGUGGGUAACUUAAUACAAAGGUCUAGAAUUCAAAUUUCUCCUUGACUUCACACAUAUACCUAUAAUGUGAACACAGGAUGUGUACACAGAAUAUAAAAAGCAUCUGCAUACAGGUGUGAAAACUGAUACCUCUCUACUCUUAAAGAGAUUCAGUCUACUGGGAUUUAGGAUGCUGGACUUGGUGCCAGAAUCAAGUACUCUUGGAUAAAUUCUUUAUGCUCUUAUCAACUACAUACAUAUUUGGAGCACAAGGGCAGUGUUGUCUGCCCUGUGGGCCUCACAGAGUGACUAAAAGGUUCAAAUGCCCUACCAACCCCGAAAGCGUGUUGCAAAUAGUACUGUCCUAAUGAGAGGCAAGGUAAAAAAAAACCAAACAAUUUUGAGAUAUAUGUAAAAACCUUAAGAGAAAUGUAAGGUAUAUUUCUGAGAAACAGAAUUUUUAUUUUCCUACAUUCCUAUCUCUGUAUAAUAUAAAUACAUUCUCUAAAAUACCAGAAGAUAGCUUUUGGGAAAAAUGAAUACUCAGAAGACUCUAAAACUUUGUCUGAAAAUUCUAAAGACUACAGUGAAUCUUUCUGUGUCAAAAGGGGCAGAGAUUUCAUGUACCAUCUGUUUAUUUGCAUCAUUUGAUCAAAGUUCUGUUAAGGGCUGUGGGGGAAUACAGAUAUGAACAAGUCGAGGCUCUGAACUGUAGGUAGUUUGCAGAAGAGGUAAAACAAUGUAUUCAAGAAGGCAAAAGGGAAAAAAAGCUUUAGGGUGGACGCAGAUAAAAUAUUCUGAAGCUACAGAGAGUUCUUUUCUAGCUGAGAGAAGCCAUGGAAGUCUUCAUGUAGGAAGUGGUCAUGACAGUGGGUGUUGGCAGAGAUUCACGGUGGGAAGAGCGGAGCACUCCAGACAAAUGGUAAAAAUAGGAAUGAAAAGAUGAGGUGGGUCUGGCUCUCUUUUCUAGCGCAGGGUUCCCCAAAGUGCACUUUAAGAGAUACUAAUUUAGCUGAGUGCUAGCUGGUUUGUAUGAAUGCUGUGCCUACAGUUAAUGAUUAAAGUAUUACAGAUAAAUAAACAGAAAGACUGUGGACAGAACAUGGCAAAGGACUGCACAGAGCUCCUGAGGGAUUCCUGAGAGCAAAGUGAAGUCAGAGGUAGGGCCACAAAAGGAAGUGAGGCAGGCAUAGAAGCCUAGACUGGAUUUGAGAAGGAUGGAAAGCUCUGGAAUAGGUAUGUACGGAAAUGCAUACAGAUAAGAGAAAAGGCUGAAGAACAGGUAUGGGAAGCCAGAUGAUAUGGGACUUGAUGAAAUGCCCUGCAGAAAUUACCAGCUUGCUCUCAAGACUCUGCACUGCUGUACUUGCCUACUCCUGCUCAUCUACCCACAUCAUGUCCUGGUCAUCCAAAUGAAAGCAACACAGAGCACCAGGAGAGCCUCACCUACAAACCAGGGCAGCUAAGAAUGGUGCCCGAGGAGACCCCUUACCUUUUUGGUGAGGGAAUCAUCUGAGUCUGACGGCAUUCGAGUGGAAACAUGGAAAAUCACUUCCACAGUUGAGGUAGCAUAGUAAGGGGCCGUCUGCCCGGUGCUGCCAUUGCGCUGAAGGCCACCCAUGAACCCACAGUGGGUGGAGAGAUCCACCUGACAAAGGUCACAAAGAAGAAAGAGUGAGGAUCAAAAAUGAGCUGCUCUUUCACUAAGCAGGACUGUGAAUUCAGAAAAAAAAUAAAUUAUUUUCGUUUUUAUAUCUUUCUUUCUGAUUACAAACAAAUGUAAUACAAAGUUAGACCAGAUUAAAAUGUUAAAGAAAUAAAAAACAUUAAAAAUGAAAGUGCUCUACAAUCAUAUCAACUGAAUAAAACCACUACCAAACUUUUGGUAUAUAAUCUCUAACUUUUUUCCCACCUGUAUGUAUAAAUGUAUGUGUAUAUAUGCAUAUAUGUGUGUGUAUACAUAGGUUCCCUAUUGAUGGAUUUUGGGGGUUUCUGCUUUUUCAAAACAGAAAGCACACUCAAAGGAGUGUUUUUCUAAGAUGUUGGGUCAAAAGGUACCAAUAUUAAAAAUAUUUAGCAAUCCUUGCUAAACUGCCUUUCAAAAGGGUUGAACAACCACUUUACACCACUGCCGAAAGUUUAUGAGUCAUAAUUCAAAGUUACGGCAUGAGUGUUCACUUCUUAGUGCCUUUAUCCAAAAUUUUUAACUUGUCAUAAACUAGUAUUCUUUCAGUAAAAUACCUAUUCUAACAUAUAUGAAAAAAGAAAUAGAAGAAUCUCUUCUGUGCCAAAUAGAGUAAACAUAUACUCUCAAAACUCUAAUUGAUAAUGUAUGGCUUAAAAAUAUAUUAAAUAACAACUAUAUUCUAUGACAAAUUAGAAGUAGCCUUACUAGUGAGAACAAUGAUUUACUGGAAGUACAGUAACUGUUAGACUCAAACCUACUUGCCUUCUUAGUAAGGAUGUCGUUUUGACUCUGAUGUACUCUUACCCUGUUUCCAUCCCUGCCUUAGUCCCCUUGCUAGCACUGAGCUCUCAAAGGCACCCAGAGAGUUUUUCAGAGCACAGGUACUCAAGAAACUAAUAAAAAAUAAGGAAAUUGGCCGGGCAAUCCCAGCACUUUGGGAGGCCGAGGCAGGUGAAUCACGAGGUUAAGAGAUCAAGACCAUCGUGGCCAACAUGGUGAAACACCAUCUCUACUAAAAAUACAAAAAAAAAUCAGCUGGGUGUGGCGGCGCGUGCCUGUAGUCCCAGCUACUUGGGAGGCUGAGGCAGGAGAAUUGCUGGAACCCGGGAGGUGGAGGUUGCAGUGAGCCGAGAUUGUGCGACUGCACUCCAGCCUGGUGAAAGAGCAAGACUCUGUCUAAGAAAAGACAAAAAAAAAAGAAAAAAAGAAGUAAAUUAUUUUAGAUAUGUUGAUUUCCAUUUUAACUACUCCUAAUUCUUUCAGAUUCUAGGAAUUUUUUUUUUAGGUUUAUGUUUUUUGGGGAAAGGUGUGUAUGUGUGUAUAAAUGUAUAUAUGUCUGUAUGUCAGAGUACCAUUUAAUAAAGAAAAAAUAAACUUUUUCAACAUCAAUCAUCCUGAAAUCUACCUUAGGGAAAUAGGUUGAUAGCUAAACCAUCAUGGCUAUUAUAUUAUAUUUUCAUUGCAACUUUUGACUUCAUCCAACUCUUUCUUCAUCUUUUCACCCAUCAAGUCAUUGACUUCUUCUUCAAUCUCCAUACUGUGGCCAAAGCCAUUGCUUCUCUGCCCACAUUUGUCUUCUCUUACUACAAACUGUCUAUGUCUGGGAGAGCCCAUCUGACUAUUCAGUUCUGAUAAAAAGCAAAUGAAAAAAUAUUAAGAGGAAAGUUAAAGGAAAACAAAAGUUCAUGUAUUAAAUACUGACAAGCAACUAACAGAUGUCAAAUCCAAUAAAUUCUUCAAUUCCAGAACUCUAUCUAUGCUAUAUUUGAAUGCAAAAGCACAUGUAAAAACUUACACAAUGUCUAGUUUGGACACAUCUUUAAACAGUGCUGGUCAAUAAACACCUACUGAAUGAAAUGCAUUACCUCCCAUCCAAGUCCAGCAACAAAGUCUUCAUAUGCUUGGCUUCCUCUUUCAUUAGAGAGGAUUGAACACUUGUCUUCUUGACCUUCAGCAAUGUAAAACACUGCGAUUUUGUGUGUCUCACGGCUAUAAAUUUUUAAAUUUAAAGGAGUUAGAAUUCUUAUAUGUAAAAUUUUACUUCACUACUAUUAAUACCACCAGCAUGACUUCUACCACUGAGCUUACAUUUACUGAGAACCUGCUAGAGGUCAGUCAGUGUUCUGAGAUGGUCUGACACAUAGUCUCAUUUAUUCUUCAAAACCAUGCUAAAGAGAUGAGUAUUAUUAUCACCUCCCUAGUAGAGGUGGUUGAAAGGAGGCACAGAAAGUGAAACAAAAAGCACAUCCAGCAAGCUGGGGAUGGGAACUGUCGCAAGGCCAUCUGCUUCCUGAGACCAUACCCUCAGACAUAAGAUACACCGACCAGAAGGCUGGGGCACACCAUUUGGUAAGUUCUCUGUUUUUGGUAAAAAAAUAUCUUUUAAAGUAUUUCAAAUACAUAUAAAUUGUGAAUAGAUCUAUGUGACUGUCCAUAUUUAACUCUACACUUUAAGGCUACUGGGUGGCUCUGUGAUUGGAACUAUAAAAUAUGCCACGAUUUUAUGAGAAAAAGAAGAUCCUUCCAAGCGAACACACUUAGGUAUUUUCUUCAUGAAGGGGUUUACCAACUUCUGUACUCUGACUAUUCUGAGGGUGCCUGACAGGGUGGAUAGCUAUUUAGUGGAACCCCUUUUAGCCAUAUAAACCCUUCAUCUGCUUGUUCCAACAUAGAUCUUGGAUACUCUGGUAUCAAAUCAAGCAAAAGUGAUGUGUACUUUGAAAAAAGAAGCCCUGCCAUUUUCUCUUUUGCACAUCUAGCAUACUGCUUUGCAUAUAGUAGGUGUUCAGUUAAGUCUCUGUUACACUGAGCAGAUAUAUGGUGAUACAUUUGAAUGCAUUAAUAAUAAAUUUCUACAAAUUAUACCCUGGAGUAAAGCGACAAAAUACCUGGGCCUAGACCAAGCAUUUGGUGAUAGUUUAGAGAUGAAACACUGUUCUUAUUCAAACGGAGCUUUGAUUACGAAUCAUUCAUUCCCUAGCCCAAUCACCCAAGAGUUUUGGUUUUUUUAAAGUUUCGAUGUCCACUUCCAGAGCGGUUCCAACUUUCUCCUUUUUUUGCACUACAUUCUGAUAAAUCUCAUAGGAAUAACUGUCAAGUUCUUAAAUACAGAAAUAUUUUUUCUGUCAAAUUUAAUAUUUAAUUUUUUAAUAUUUGUUUAGUAUUUCAACAUUGUAAUUUGAUUAGAUAUUGUAUUGGUAGAACUGAGUUCCAUAUUUUAACAAAUUAUCUAAGAUUUCCUUCUGUGUGAGUUAUUUCUCUACUUAAUAAUCAGAACUAACUGAUUCUCAAUUAAAAAGUCAUACAAAUAACUGGAGGAAGAGAGUUCUCUCCUUUUACUCAGCUUAUUCACUUCCCCUAUGGUUUAUAUGCAAUAAACAUACUUGGAAGAAGAAUUAGAAAAUACAGAAAGAAAAGAGAAGAAUAAAAAUCACUUGCAGUUUCAACGGAUAAGCAAAGAACAUAGCCGUUACACCAUUUUAGGAUACACUUUUGCAUGCACAUAUGAGAAGCUACUACAUUCUGUUUUACAACAGAUUUUUUCACUUAAAAUAUUUGUGAACACUUUUUUAUUGUGGUAAAAUAUACAUAUCAUAAAAUUCACCAUUUCAACCAUUUUUUUAGUGUGAACACUUUUAUAUCAUGUGCUUCUACAACAGAGGUUUAAUGAUUGUAACAACAUUCCAUUAUAUUAAUAUGUCAUGGCCCAAAUCUUCAUUUAGGUUGCUUUCAUUUUAAAAGACAUUUUCACGUUAUCUUUAAUACAUCCUUAAAGAUAAUCUUUAAUGUUUUUAAUCUUUUCACAAUAUCUUUUUUUGAGAUAGUCUCACUUCGUCACCCAGGCUGGAGUGCAAUGGCGUGAUCUUGGAUCACUGCAACCUCCACCUCCUGUGUUCCAGUGAUUCUCGUGCCUCAGCCGUCCCAGUAGCUGGGACUACAGGUGCAUGCUACCACACACCACCACACCUGGCUAAUUUUUUUUAUUAUUUUUAGUAGAGACAGGGUUUCGCCAUGUUGGCCAGGCUGAUCUCAAACUCCUGAUCUCAGGUGAUCCACCUGCCUUGGCCUCCCAAAGUGUUGGCUUUAUAGGGUUGAGCACCAUGCCCAGCCCCAAUAUCUCUAAUAUGUCCUUAAAAUAAAUUUAGAAAACUUGUCCUCAUGCAGCAGGAAGCCCUGAAAGUGCCACACCAUUCACUGCCCUGAGCAACAGGCAGGGGACACCAAUGGCGUAGAAUCUAACUAGCCUAUUCCAAGAGCUAUAAAAAUUUGGGCACUUGGAUAAUAACAGAAACCAUAACCUAUGACCUAAAAGACUGUCUCUUUCAACAAAAGUGGAGAAGUAUAGUUAUUCAGUUUUUAUCUGAAGGUCUCUCUACAUAUGUAAAAACUCCUCAGCAUUUAAUUUUUCUUUGUUUUAUAGACUUUACAUACAUAAAAACAGCCUCAGGUUUAUCUACAAUGUUUCAGUUUAUUCUCCU